GACGUAGGGGGCAAGCGUUGUCCGGAUUCAUUGGGCGUAAAGCGCGUGUAGGCGGCCAGGUAGGUCCGACGUGAAAACUGGAGGCUCAACCUCCAGCUGUCGUUGGAAACCAUCUGGCUAGAGUCCGGAAGAGGAGAGUGGAAUUCCUGGUGUAGCGGUGGAAUGCGCAGAUAUCAGGAGGAACACCAGUGGCGAAGGCGGCGAUCUGGACAGAUAUUGACGCUGAGGUGCGAAAGCGUGGGGAGCAAACAGG
rnacentral:rRNA from 1 species